CCUACGGGAGGCAGCAGUAGGGAAUAUUGCUCAAUGGGGGAAACCCUGAUGCAGCAACGCCGCGUGGAGGAUGAAGUUUUUCGGCUUGUAAACUCCUUUUGUUAGAGAAGAUAAUGACGGUUUCUUACGUAUAAGCACCGGCUAACUCCGUGCCAGCAGCCGCGGUAAUACGGAGGGUGCAAGCGUUACUCGGAAUCACUGGGCGUAAAGGGCGCGUAGGCGGGAUAGCAAGCCAGAUGUGAAAGCCUAUGGCUUAACCAUAGAACUGCAUUUGAAACUGUUAUUCUAGAGUAUGGGAGAGGUAGGUGGAAUUCUUGGUGUAGGGGUAAAAUCCGUAGAGAUCAAGAGGAAUACUCAUUGCGAAGGCGACCUGCUAGAACAUGACUGACGCUGAGGCGCGAAAGCGUGGGGAGCAAACAGGAUUAGAUACCCUUGUAGUC
rnacentral:rRNA from 1 species